UACGUAGGGGGCAAGCGUUGUCCGGAAUCAUUGGGCGUAAAGAGCGUGUAGGCGGCCAGAUAAGUCCGCUGUGAAAACUCGAGGCUCAACUUCGAGCUGUCGGUGGAAACUAUUUGGCUAGAGUCCGGAAGAGGAGAGUGGAAUUCCUGGUGUAGCGGUGAAAUGCGUAGAUAUCAGGAGGAACACCCGUGGCGAAGGCGGCACUCUGGCACGACCCUGACGCUGAGGCGCGAAAGCGUGGGAGCGAACGGG
rnacentral:rRNA from 1 species